rnacentral:rRNA from 1 species
GGCGAACGCUGGCGGCGUGCUUAACACAUGCAAGUCGAACGGAAAGGCCCUGCUUGCAGGGUACUCGAGUGGCGAACGGGUGAGUAACACGUGGGUGAUCUGCCCUGCACUUCGGGAUAAGCCUGGGAAACUGGGUCUAAUACCGGAUAGGAGCCAUUUUUAGUGUGAUGGUUGGAAAGUUUUUUCGGUGUAGGAUGAGCUCGCGGCCUAUCAGCUUGUUGGUGGGGUAAUGGCCUACCAAGGCGGCGACGGGUAGCCGGCCUGAGAGGGUGGACGGCCACAGUGGGACUGAGAUACGGCCCAGACUCCUACGGGAGGCAGCAGUGGGGAAUAUUGCACAAUGGGCGCAAGCCUGAUGCAGCGACGCCGCGGGGGGGAUGACGGCCUUCGGGUUGUAAACUCCUUUCGCUAGGGACGAAGCUUUUUGUGACGGUACCUAGAGAAGAAGCACCGGCUAACUACGUG